UAGCCUAAAGGUUAAGGCUAUGGAUCACCAAUCCGAUGAUGGUGGGUUCGAUUCCCAU
rnacentral:tRNA from 1 species